GUGUGGGUGUGGGUGUGUGUGGGUGUGUGUUUUGUUUAUCAGAAGAAAGAGGAUGUAGGUUUGAAAAGUCCAAAAACCUUGGCAUGGAACGAACAGAGGUCUGUCUUUGCAAUGCUCUUUCAUAAAGAUUGUUUAUUUUUCUCAGUUCAGAUUCUGCAGCAUCUAAAUAAUAUUCACUCGGUGGUUCAAAAUUGCUAGAGCAGAAGGUUCCAGAGUAGGGUGUUGACUGUGUGGGGCGGGUCUUGAAAAGGCACCCAUUAUACGGCGCACUAAGCCACAGUCAUGCUGAAGGGAGGCCAAAAGGGUUUUACAUUAAGAUGGGUGUUCCCCCUUUUGAGCUGGAGGGUGAAGGGCAGGCUGGAGACCAGCAAGAUGAUUCUGUUGAAUCUCGAGAGUUCUGGUUUAAUUUCAUUGAAUGAAAAUCCUAAAUGCAUUCUGUUAAUGCCCAAGUAGGCACUUUGAUGUUUUCUUUUCAAAGGUAAAUGUUAUGUUCUACAUCUGUUUUCUUUCUGAAUUCACAAAUGCACUUAACAUUUAAAUUUAAGGAAAGGCUUCCUGAAAGUCCAGUGAUGAAAUUCUCAUUUGAAGUAGUCUCUUGGAUUCCUUCGUAUAAAUCCAAAAGAUUACAUGAACUGCUCGCUGAAAGAAACCAUAGCUACGAUGUGGGAAGGUUCCUACAGUGUCAAUAAGUCUCAAUCGUUUGCAUAUGCAAAGGAUAACCUUAAACUUGAGUUUGACAUUUCACAUUGCGUCUCAAAAACAUGCAGCCUUUUUGUUCAAAGAACCUCGCUGUUUCCGAGUGGGUGGGCGUAUACUUAGAGCCGGAGCUGUUGGUCUUGCUCCCCUUAAGGUUGACACAAGCAAUGGCGACUCGCUGCCACACCGGGGCAGCCUCUCCUCGGCUGGGGACCGGGCCAGGCGGAUCACUCCCGGGAGCUGACAAUGUAGCCAAGUCCGACUUGCUGGGGCUGCCAAGAAUUUUAAAGGGAUCUAGAAACGUCCAUCUUUCUCCCCUUUUAACAAUUACAGCGAGCUCUAAGCUCUGGGUGAAAAAGCCUACGGGAAGGAAAAAACAUAGGGUGUUUUUGUUGUUCUUUGCAAAAUGUCUUCACCGCUCCCAAAGGUCCCGCGCGCUCUCCUCGAGCAGGGGGGAGGCCGGGCGUGGAGAGGGUCAGCUGGCA
rnacentral:lncRNA from 1 species